rnacentral:lncRNA from 1 species
UUUUUUCAGGUUUUCGAAGUUAAACAAUUAAGGACCCUUAAUCCUUAUUAUCCAUUAAAGUUUUACUUAUGGUUAUUCCGAUUAAAGGUAUGAUCCUUGACUAUUUUGAUUAUAUUCAUUAUCCUAACCGACCCUUAUACUUUGACAACCAAACCUAUGAUCCUUGAACUAAAAUACUUUGAAUAUUUUCAAUAUCAGGAUAUUUGAUCUAGGAUCAUAUCCUAAAUUUAUUAAAUAUAUUUUCAACUCUUGCCACUUUAACAAAUAUACUACAAAAACAACUAAGAAACAAGAAGAUAAGGAUAACAACACGAGAUAAGCCAGAAAAGUUAAAGUUAUAUUAUUAAACAAAAGGAUCAUUAACCCUUUCAAAAAGUUGUCAAAAUUGCCAACCCACAUUUCUACCAGCAAAACGUGGCCCGUCCACAUGGGUUGGCAAAGGGUGUCCAUUG